rnacentral:rRNA from 1 species
AGCAGUCGCCGCGGUAAAACGGAGGGGGCUAGCGUUGUUCGGAAUUACUGGGCGUAAAGCGCACGUAGGCGGCUUUGUAAGUUAGAGGUGAAAGCCUGGAGCUCAACUCCAGAAUUGCCUUUAAGACUGCAUCGCUUGAAUCGCGGAGAGGUGAGUGGAAUUCCGAGUGUAGAGGUGAAAUUCGUAGAUAUUCGGAAGAACACCAGUGGCGAAGGCGGCUCACUGGACGCGUAUUGACGCUGAGGUGCGAAAGCGUGGGGAGCAAACAGGAUUAGAUACCCCCGUAGUCCCUGUCUCUUAUAC